CAAUAGCGUAUAUUAAAGUUGUUGCAGUUAAAAAGCUCGUAGUUGGAUUUCUGGUGGGAGCGAUCGGUCUGGCGCUUAGCGCGAGUACUUGCAUCGUCUCCGGCCAUCCUUGGGGAGAGUCUGUCUGGCAUUAAGUUGUCGGGCAGAGGAUCCUCAUCGUUUACUGUGAAAAAAUUAGAGUGUUCAAAGCAGGCUUAUGCCGUUGAAUAUAUUAGCAUGGAAUAAUAAGAUAGGACUUUGGUACUAUUUUGUUGGUUUGCGCACCAAAGUAAUGAUUAAUAGGGACAGUUGGGGGUAUUCGUAUUCCGUUGUCAGAGGUGAAAUUCUUGGAUUUCUGGAGGACGAACUACUGCGAAAGCAUUUACCAAGGAUGUUUUCAUUAA
rnacentral:rRNA from 1 species